GAGUUUGAUCCUGGCUCAGAGCGAACGCUGGCGGCAUGCUUAACACAUGCAAGUCGCACGGUAUGGGGGCAACUCCAUGCAGUGGCGGACGGGUGAGUAACGCGUAGGAAUCUAUCCUUGGAUGGGGGACAACCGUGGGAAACUACGGCUAAUACCGCAUGAUGCCUGAGGGCCAAAGCUCGCGAGAGCGUCUGGGGAGGAGCCUGCGUCUGAUUAGGUAGUUGGUGGGGUAAAGGCCUACCAAGCCUGCGAUCAGUAGCUGGUCUGAGAGGAUGAUCAGCCACAUUGGGACUGAGACACGGCCCAAACUCCUACGGGAGGCAGCAGUGGGGAAUAUUGGACAAUGGGGGCAACCCUGAUCCAGCAAUGCCGCGUGGGUGAGGAAGGUUUUCGGAUUGUAAAGCCCUUUUGGCGGGGACGAUGAUGACGGUACCCGCAGAAUAAGCUCCGGCUAACUUCGUGCCAGCAGCCGCGGUAAUACGAAGGGGGCUAGCGUUGCUCGGAAUGACUGGGCGUAAAGGGCGCGUAGGCGGCUUGCAUAGUUAGGCGUGAAAUUCCUGGGCUCAACCUGGGGACUGCGUCUAAUACAUGCAGGCUUGAGUGUGAAAGAGGGUCGUGGAAUUUCCAGUGUAGAGGUGAAAUUCGUAGAUAUUGGAAAGAACACCGGUGGCGAAGGCGGCGACCUGGUUCAUUACUGACG
rnacentral:rRNA from 1 species